rnacentral:ncRNA from 1 species
ACGAUAAUAGCAAAACCAUCGAAAGAUGGCGACGCAAAGCUAUAGGGCCUUACCCCUCUGAGAGGGCUGGCAGCCAGUUACCGA